GCGGCGAACGGGUGAGGAACACGUGAAGAAUCUGCCUUCAACUCUGGGAUAACUCCGGGAAACCGGGGCUAAUACCGGAUAUGAGCCUUGAUCGCAUGAUCGGGGCUGGAAAGUUUUUCGGUUGAAGAUGACUUCGCGGCCUAUCAGCUUGUUGGUGAGGUAAUGGCUCACCAAGGCGACGACGGGUAGCCGGCCUGAGAGGGCGACCGGCCACACUGGGACUGAGACACGGCCCAGACUCCUACGGGAGGCAGCAGUGGGGAAUAUUGGGCAAUGGAGGAAACUCUGACCCAGCGACGCCGCGUGAGGGAUGAAGGCCUUCGGGUUGUAAACCUCUUUCAGUAGGGAAGAAGCGAAAGUGACGGUACCUACAGAAGAAGCACCGGCUAACUAUGUGCCAGCAGCCGCGGUAAUACAUAGGGUGCAAGCGUUGUCCGGAAUUAUUGGGCGUAAAGAGCUCGUAGGUGGUUCGAUACGUCGGAUGUGAAAAUCAGGGGCUCAACCCCUGACCUGCAUCCGAUACGGUCGAGCUAGAGUUUGGUAGGGGAGACUGGAAUUCCUGGUGUAGCGGUGGAAUGCGCAGAUAUCAGGAGGAACACCGAUGGCGAAGGCAGGUCUCUGGGCCAAUACUGACACUGAGGAGCGAAAGCGUGGGGAGCGAACAGGAUUAGAUACCCUGGUAGUCCAC
rnacentral:rRNA from 1 species